AUUGAACGCUGGCGGCAUGAUUUACACAUGCAAGUCGAACGGUAACAGGCCGCAAGGUGCUGACGAGUGGCGAACGGGUGCGUAAUGCAUCGGAACGUGCCCAGUCGUGGGGGAUAACUACUCGAAAGAGUAGCUAAUACCGCAUACGAUCUAUGGAUGAAAGCGGGGGACCGUAAUGCCUCGCGCGAUUGGAGCGGCCGAUGUCAGCUUAGGUAGUUGGUGGGGUAAAGGCUCACCAAGCCAACGAUCUGUAGCUGGUCUGAGAGGACGACCAGCCACACUGGGACUGAGACACGGCCCAGACUCCUACGGGAGGCAGCAGUGGGGAAUUUUGGACAAUGGGCGCAAGCCUGAUCCAGCAAUGCCGCAUGCAGGAAGAAGGCCUUCGGGUUGUAAACUGCUUUUGUACGGAACGAAACGGCUCUGGUUAAUACCCGGGGCUAAUGACGGUACCGGAAGAAUAAGCACCGGCUAACUACGUG
rnacentral:rRNA from 1 species